UAACACCGAUGAUGAUGAUGAUGGUGAUGAUGAUGAUGACUAUCAAACAUUCUUGUAGCAUCAUCAUCAUCACCAUCAUCACCAUCUUAU
rnacentral:miRNA from 1 species